rnacentral:lncRNA from 1 species
AUCUCCCGAGUGACAGAGCUUCUUUUACAAAUGUAUAACGGAGAAACUUUUCAUAUCUUCUCAGAUUCAGCAUCUGUCAUCAAAUUUUUGCACCUUAGGAAUUAUCGUUCAAAUUCGAUAUCAUCUGAAGCUCAAAAAAUAAUCAUGGAGUUAUAAGCUUUUAUAGAAAGAUUCAAAUAUUUCAGCUUUGGAUGGAUUUCGAGAUUUUCUAAAAAUGUUGUAGUCACGGAUCGCUUGGCCAAUUGGGGACUUACAAGCAAAAAG